rnacentral:rRNA from 1 species
CACGUAGGAGGCGAACGUUAUCCGGAUUUACUGGGCGUAAAGCGCGUGUAGGUGGUUUGGUAAGUAGGGCGUGAAAGCUCCUGGCUCAACUGGGAGAGGCCGUUCUAAACUGCCGAGCUAGAGGAUGGUAGAGGGAGGUGGAAUUCCGGGUGUAGCGGUGGAAUGCGCAGAUAUCCGGAGGAACACCAGUGGCGAAAGCGACGCGCUGGGCCUGACCUGACGCUAAGACGCGAAAGCAUGGGGAGCGAACGGG